rnacentral:rRNA from 1 species
AACGAACGCUGGCGGCAGGCCUAACACAUGCAAGUCGAACGCACUUGCAAUAGGAAGUGGCAGACGGGUGAGUAACACGUGGGAACCUUCCCUAUAGUAUGGAAUAGCCGAGGGAAACUUGGAGUAAUAACGUAUACGCCGGAGAGGGGAAGGAUAUAUCGCUAUAGGUUGGGCUCGCGUAGGAUUAGCUAGUUGGUGAGGUAAUGGCUCACCAAAGCGACGAUCCUUAGCUGGUCGGCGAGGACGACCAGCCAAACUGGUACUGAGUCACGGCCCAGACUCCUCCGGGAAGCAGCAGUGUGAAAUAUUGGACAAUGGGCGCAAGCCUGAUCCAGCCAUGCCGCUUGAGCGAUGAAGGCCUUAGAGUUGUAAAGCUCUUUUGCCGGGGACGAUAAUGACGGUACCCGGAGAAUAAGUCCCGGCUAACUUCGUGCCAGCAGCCGCGGUAA